rnacentral:rRNA from 1 species
AGUGAACGCUGGCGGCAGGCCUAAUACAUGCAAGUCGAACGGCAGCACAGUGGAGCUUGCUCCAUGGGUGGCGAGUGGCGGACGGGUGAGGAAUACAUGGGAAUCUGCCCAGUCGUGGGGGAUAACGUAGGGAAACUUACGCUAAUACCGCAUGCGCCCUUCGGGGGAAAGCCGGGGACCUUCGGGCCUGGCGCGAUCGGAUGAGCCCAUGUUCGAUUAGCUAGUUGGCGGGGUAAAGGCCCACCAAGGCGACGAUCGAUAGCUGGUCUGAGAGGAUGAUCAGCCACACUGGGGCUGAGACACGGCCCAGACUCCUACGGGAGGCAGCAGUAGGGAAUAUUGGACAAUGGGCGCAAGCCUGAUCCAGCCGUGCCGCGUGAGUGAAGAAGGCCCUCGGGUUGUAAAGCUCUUUUGUCCGGGAAGAAAAGCAUCGGGCUAAUACCUCGGUGUUCUGACGGUACCGGAAGAAUAAGCACCGGCUAACUUCGUG